rnacentral:rRNA from 1 species
GAUGAACGCUGGCGGCGUGCCUAAUACAUGCAAGUCGAGCGAACGGACGAGAAGCUUGCUUCUCUUAUGUUAGCGGCGGACGGGUGAGUAACACGUGGAUAACCUACCUAUAAGACUGGGAUAACUUCGGGAAACCGGAGCUAAUACCGGAUAAUAUUUUGAACCGCAUGGUUCAAAAGUAAAAGACGGUCUUGCUGUCACUUAUAGAUUGAUCCGCGCUGCAUUAGCUAGUUGGUAAGGUAACGGCUUACCAAGGCAACGAUGCAUAGCCGACCUGAGAGGGUGAUCGGCCACACUGGAACUGAGACACGGUCCAGACUCCUACGGGAGGCAGCAGUAGGGAAUCUUCCGCAAUGGGCGAAAGCCUGACGGAGCAACGCCGCGUGAGUGAUGAAGGUCUUCGGAUCGUAAAACUCUGUUAUUAGGGAAGAACAUAUGUGUAAGUAACUGUGCACAUCUUGACGGUACCUAAUCAGAAAGCCACGGCUAACUACGUG